AUUACAUGUUAAGUUUUGCAAUUUGAGAGGGUGAAUGUAAAAUUGGAAGUGUGGGUAUUGCAGUUGAACAAAGGGGAUUAUGUUGGCAUGAGGGAGGAGCUGGCCAAAGUUGACUGGAAAGGGACAC